UCAAUAGGGGUGCUUCUCCUUGACCAUGUUUUUUUUUUUUGCUUAUUGACGUUUUUGUGAAGGAACGCUGGAUAUGUGCACACCAUUGACUGUCAGCUCUAGUCCCGGUCAGCUGUCAUUUUUUACAGUUCUCGUUGUAGUAAUUGCUAGUCAUUUGCACCAAAGGCGCUGGAUGUGAACUAUUUUCUCUUUCCUGGACUUGCAUUUCUCCCAGUCGUUGGCUUUGUCAUUUUUUCAUAAUUUAAAUUUUCUCUUGGUAACUCUUGAGUUUCGUAAUCCCUACACUGUGCAUUUUACCCUUUUGAUAAAGCUCAUUCCACAUACCGUGCACAGACUAUUUUGUGCUGACGUGCAGCAAUUGUUCCGUUACGUCUAAUGUUACAUGCCAUUCAUUUUUGUGUCUGGGGUACUGAAGCCUGAGCAGAUAGGCAGACUGCCUAUUACUGCAUAACUUCGUUUUCUUUGAGACACCACCACUUGUGCAGGCAGACCGCCUCUUGCUGUAUGCUUUUUCUUUCUUUUGAGACACCGUUGACGUGCUAGUGGUUACGCAGGCAGGCUGCAUAUUACUGUAUACCAUUUCCCCCCAUGCAGCAAUUUUACCGUUACGUCUAAUAUUAAUGCUACAAGCCGUUCAUUUCUUUCUGGGCCACUACCGAAGUGCAAGUGGUUAGGCAGACUGCCUACUACUGUAUACCUUUUUUGUUUCCUUUCAGAGACCACUCUUACUGGGUACGUUUCCCCCCCCUUUUGAGACACCAUUGAAGGGCCAGUGGUUACGCAGGCAGGCUGGAUAUUACGACACAAUUGGCAUACAUUGGGUGAUGCAGGCAGACUGCUUAGUGUGCACCACUCGUCGUUUAGUCUAUUGAGGUGCUACAAGUGUUGUGUCAGUCUAUUUCCUCUCCGAAAAUAAAAUGUUGGGCUCUACA